CAGGUGCUAGCAGGGACGGAGCAGGUCGGCGCUGCUGUCUUGGAUAACCUGACCCCAUUCCAGUAGAGGUGACACCAUAGCACUCUUUGUGGAGCUUCGUCCCUGGCUGCUAGCUAAUCAGUACAUGAUGCACUAGCUAAUCUAUGCAUUAUCUGCUAGCUCUUUGGGUGAUGCUCUUUUUCUGUUAUCUGGUAAAAUGUUGUACUAGUACGCAUAAUUAGAAUUUGCUAGCUGUAUGUGAUUCAGUGCAAAUUUUGAUUGCAAUUGUUUGAGAUAUACUGAUUUCAGCAGAAUAGGAAAUUAUAGAGUCUAUGACAUGUAGACCCCCUUUGUUAUUGACUAAACAAACGGACAAGUUUUUGUCCAAAUAGGUCUGCCGGUUGUGCAGACUCUUGUCCAGGGCGACCCAUUUUGGACAAUAAUGGACAUUUUUGUGUCCGAAAUAGGUCUCCCCAUUGAAGAUGCCUUUAGAUUAUAAUUAACUUCUAGUUGAAUAACUCCCCCACUGUAAACAUUGCCGAAAUUAUUGAUAUAUACCCCUUUUAUUUUUGUUGACCUGAAUAUUACGUUUGAGUCUAAACUCGUACUCUACGAACUAACAAUCACUACAAUUCCUCACACAAAUAGACAAUCUUAUAAGAUAACCCGGACACCGUCCAGUUGUAAUUAAGCACCUGCAUUAUAACUUCUCGCCAUUGUCAAAAAAUCUAGUUUAUUUACUGUCGCUAGCCCACCUACAAUUACCACAACUACCCUAAUUUAGCAUAUAAAUAAUUUAUGCAUCCAGUUUCACACACCUCUAUUUACUAGCUAUGCGAGAUUAUUUUCAUACCUCUCCAAAUUACUGGAAGUUCUUGCAGAAAUGUGAGUGUUGCACAUUGUAUAUUUGUUGUUAAUUAUCUCUCAAGUAAACAUAACUUUUAAUUGAUCCACGAUUUUCAUUUCGUCAAGUCAUGGAUCAUACAUGAGUACCCUAGAUUAGUAGACAUUCUUGGAAUUGUUAUCAGAACUGUUAAUUGGAACCACCCAAUGGAUCACAAGCUUUUCUCUUGUAUAAUCAGGCGAAUAAUGCUGAUCAACAUCACAGAAUGCAUCAUGGCAUGGAUUUCUCAUUUGAGCUGUCAUCUUGAGCCAUAAUUUGCGGUAGAUGUGGUGGCAGUAAUGAAUUACUCAAAUAUUGCAUCUAUCCCAAACCAAUUUGUCAAACAGGGGUUUACCGUAAACUCUUGCUGGCUGGAUAAUAUUGAUAACCACGGAUGAAUGAUAUUACACAAAGUAAUGAUGAUGCAAGGGAGCGCAUCCAGUUUUGCUGAAGAUCGCCUCCACGCUGCUAACAUUGAACUUACCAUGUUGGAUUAAGCAAUGCUGCCACACUUGUGUAGAUGCCCGAACAUGUAAAUUAUGUCUAAAUCCAUUAGUAGUACUAUAUCAAAACUCCAAGAUCCCCAGAGCCUGCAAUCUUUACGUUCACUGCUGGACAAUCUCAUCUAAAUCAAAGACAUCCCUGUUCAACUGUUUUACAUUUUAUUCUGCUAACACCAGUAAGAAGACUUACAAUGAUCUGAACAAAACUAGACAGAUGGAUAACCAUUCGCAACAUCAUAGCUUUUCUGGUGCUUACACUGGAAAUUUAUUAAGAAUUUUCGGUACGAAAUAUCUUGUAUUAUGUCCUUGAUUCGAUAAAAAUAAUUAGAAAUGCCUUAAGAACAUCUCCAGCUGCGUCCCCCAAACGCAUCCGGAUCGAGCAUUUUGGGGACGUGUUUCAUUCGUGCCAUCAAACUUUGUGUAAUAUCAUUCAGCCGCGUCCCCCAAACGCCGCCCUCAAACUUUAAAAUACUUUUUUUAUUUAGUAUAUAGAAGAAAUGUGUAGGUUAAAUAAUGCUGCUAAUAUUCAAAGCGGUGCAACAUACACAAUGCGAUCAACGCGUCGAUCAACGCGGUUGCC